GGAAGAGGAUUAUCCUUAGAUUUCCCUUUAGAAACAGAUUUUCUCUUCCGGGAAAAUUCUCCGGGGAGUUUCGGAGGUGAAUCGCCGGCGGGGAUCAUCGGUCUGGAGGCGGAAGCGAACUCCGGAGAAGCAAGGGCCUUGAGAGCCGGCGUGCUGGAGACACGUGUCAGUUUCCCGGAGUUCACGAUCUUGCCGUUGUUAACGGGGAUGCCGGAGUUAGUUCUUCCGUUAAAA
rnacentral:lncRNA from 1 species